rnacentral:rRNA from 1 species
CUAUACAUGCAAGUCGAGCGAACAGAAGGGAGCUUGCUCCCGGAUGUUAGCGGCGGACGGGUGAGUAACACGUGGGUAACCUGCCUGUAAGACUGGGAUAACUCCGGGAAACCGGAGCUAAUACCGGAUAGUUCCUUGAACCGCAUGGUUCAAGGAUGAAAGACGGUUUCGGCUGUCACUUACAGAUGGACCCGCGGCGCAUUAGCUAGUUGGUGGGGUAAUGGCUCACCAAGGCGACGAUGCGUAGCCGACCUGAGAGGGUGAUCGGCCACACUGGGACUGAGACACGGCCCAGACUCCUACGGGAGGCAGCAGUAGGGAAUCUUCCGCAAUGGACGAAAGUCUGACGGAGCAACGCCGCGUGAGUGAUGAAGGUUUUCGGAUCGUAAAGCUCUGUUGUUAGGGAAGAACAAGUGCGAGAGUAACUGCUCGCACCUUGACGGUACCUAACCAGAAAGCCACGGCUAACUACGUGCCAGCAGCCGCGGUAAUACGUAGGUGGCAAGCGUUGUCCGGAAUUAUUGGGCGUAAAGGGCUCGCAGGCGGUUUCUUAAGUCUGAUGUGAAAGCCCCCGGCUCAACCGGGGAGGGUCAUUGGAAACUGGGAAACUUGAGUGCAGAAGAGGAGAGUGGAAUUCCACGUGUAGCGGUGAAAUGCGUAGAGAUGUGGAGGAACACCAGUGGCGAAGGCGACUCUCUGGUCUGUAACUGACGCUGAGGAGCGAAAGCGUGGGGAGCGAACAGGAUUAGAUACCCUGGUAGUCCACGCCGUAAACGAUGA